UAUAUAUGCAUACAAUGGUGUCACAUGUGAAAAAAGAGAGAAGUGGUUCCUUGUUCUCUCUUUUUUCACACGCGACACCAUUGUAUGCAUAUAU